GGCAUAGUGUAGUGUUGGGAGGGCAUAGUGUUGGGAGGGCAUAGUGUAGGGAGGGCAUAGUGUUGGGAGGGCAUAGUGUAUGGAGGGCAUAGUGUAGUGUUGGGAGGGCAUAGUGUAGUGUUGGGAGGGCAUAGUGUUGGGAGGGCAUAGUGUAGGGAGGGCAUAGUGUAGUGUAGGGAGGGCAUAGUGUUGGGAGGGCAUAGUGUAGGGAGGGCAUAGUGUUGGGAGGGCAUAGUGUAGUGUUGGGAGGGCAUAGUGUAGGGAGGGCAUUGUGUAGGGAGGGCAUAGUGUAGUGUUGGGAGGGCAUAGUGUUGGGAGGGCAUAGUGUAGUGUUGGGAGGGCAUAGUGUAGUGUUGGGAGGGCAUAGUGUUGGGAGGGCAUAGUGGUGUUGGGAGGGCAUAGUGUAGUGUUGGGAGGGCAUAGUGUAGUGUUGGGAGGGCAUAGUGUUGGGAGGGCAUAGUGUAGUGUUGGGAGGGCAUAGUGUAGGGAGGGCAUAGUGUAGUGUUGGGAGUGCAUAGUGUUGGGAGGGCAUAGUGUUGGGAGGGCAUAGUGUAGUGUAGGGAGGGCAUAGUGUAGGGAGGGCAUAGUGUAGUGGGGAGGGCAUAGUGUUGGGAGGGCAUAGUGUUGGGAGGGCAUAGUGUAGUGUAGGGAGGGCAUAAUGUAGGGAGGGCAUAGUGUUGGGAGGGCAUAGUGUUGGGAGGGCAUAGUGUAGGGAGGGCAUAGUGUAGGGCGGGCAUAGUGUAGGGCGGGCAUAGUGUAGUGUUGGGAGGGCAUAGUGUAUGGGAGGGCAUAGUGUAGUGGGGCGGGCAUAGUGUUGGGAGGGCAUAGUGUAGUUGGGAGGGCAUAGUGUUGGGAGGGCAUAGUGUAGGGAGGGCAUAGUGUUGGGAGGGCAUAGUGUAGGGGGAGGGCAUAGUGUAGGGAGGGCAUUGUGUAGGGAGGGCAUAGUGUAG
rnacentral:lncRNA from 1 species